GGAGAGAUGGCUGAGUGGACUAAAUCGGCGGAUUGCUAAUCCGUUGUACAAUUUUUUUUACCGAGGGUUCGAAUCCCUCUCUUUCCA
rfam:Setaria italica strain Yugu1 chromosome IX, whole genome shotgun sequence.